GGCCGGGGUGGCCGAGCGGUUCAAGGCGCUACAGUUUGAAACCGUGUGACCGCUACGGUCGCAGGUUCGAAUCCUGCCUCGGUCA
rnacentral:tRNA from 1 species